UAGGGAAUCUUCGGCAAUGGGGGCAACCCUGACCGAGCAACGCCGCGUGAGUGAAGGAGGUUUUCGGAUCGUAAAGCUCUGUUGUAAGAGAAGAACGUGUGUGAGAGUGGAAAGUUCACACAGUGACGGUAACUUACCAGAAAGGGACGGCUAACUACGCGCCAG
rnacentral:rRNA from 1 species